UACGUAGGCAGCGAGCGUUGUUCGGAGUUACUGGGCGUAAAGGGUGUGUAGGCGGUUGCUUAAGUUUGGUGUGAAAUCUCCCGGCUCAACCGGGAGGGUGCGCCGAAUACUGAGUGACUAGAGUGCGGGAGAGGAAAGUGGAAUUCCUGGUGUAGCGGUGAAAUGCGUAGAUAUCAUUUGGAACGCCAACGGUGAAAACAGCUGGCUGGGGGUGUGCUGACGCUGAGACACGAAAGCCAGGGGAGCGAACGGG
rnacentral:rRNA from 1 species